GGGCAGUCAUAGCUCAGUGGUUAAGACGUUGGACUACUGAUGGGAAGGUUGUGAGUUCAAAUCUCACCACAACCCU